UUGGCAAUUAAACAUGAGAUUUAUUACCAAAAGAUAAGAACCGACUGUAUUUCGAAAACGCCAAAACACAAAACAACUUCAAGUUAAUACCUCCCCGCCUUCUAAGAAGGGUUGAAGGCAAACUAUCAUAAUAACUUUAGAAGAAACAAACUACCUCUCUACAGUCUACACCUUUCCUACAAAAAUUCUCUCACUUUAUCAUUGCACCUACAAGCUACUUUAAAGAUAAUGUUAUUUACUACAGAUUCAAUUCCUUCACAAACUCCAUUAAAAAGUUUCUUAUUACGUUGCAACCAAAUGGCAUAGACAACCUCAACAAAAACACAUUCCAUGUAGCUUAUGUCUUCUCUGUUUCCUUCGGCAAGUUCUAGCAGCAUGAAGAAUCUCAGUCUCAAAAGGAAAACAACCUCUCUGUUGAGUCAUUGCAAAACUGUUGUUCAGAUUCCAACAGAAUAAGGGAAGCUAAAAACGAGAUGUUCUAUGCUUUCAUUUGCUACUCCGCAUAACACACACAACCCAUUAGUCGGAAAGUUCAGCCUCUGCAUUCUAUCUUUUGUAAAGAGCCUAUGCGCUGGGAACCAUUUAUCCAUUUUCUCUCCCCUCCAAGCAACUUCUCAUCUGCGCAUCCGACAAUUAUCGUAGCAACUAAUGUCCUCCUACUCAGAUCCUUUGAUUUCUUGCCAAAUUUGCAUUUCUUGGAUUCAAUACUGCGAUAUAGUGUGAUAUCCAGCAGGUAUUCUCUAUCAAUUUCAGAAAACUUGUCGUUGUAAAUUAAUUAUUUUUUUCCUUUUGCAUUUAGCGUAGACGUGGUCACUCUUAAAGCCCAUAACUUCGAUAAAGGUGAGUACCUCUCUUUUUCACUCUUUUAUUUUCAUACUCUUUGAAUUCCCGGUUCUUGUGUUAUUGCAAUUUUUUAUGGUGAAUUCAUGCUUUUUUGUGUUGAUUUUGGAUAAUGAAUUCUUGUAGAUUUUUAUAUCAUUGUGUUUUGUCGAUCCAUUUUAAUAUAUUUUCCGUCAAUUUUGUGUGUGCGGGAGUUGCUAAGAUAAUAUAAAUGAAUUAAAGGGUUUUCCUGUUUUGUGUAUAUUAAAUUUUUUUCAGGUAUUUUGUUUAUGCUUUGAUUUUUUCGGAACUUUGGAUCUUUUCAACUGGUGAUACCAAAAUAUUGUGGUGUUUUUGCAUAGCUUUUAUAUAACUUUUAAGGUUUUUCCCAUAAGCAAGAUGCAUACCAGCAAGGCUUGAAAAUAUCUCAUAUUUCUCAUUUGUACGUUUAAGAGUCAAACUUGAAUGAAUAGAGAACUAAAAUGCAGUAUGUUCCUUAGUUUCUCAAGUAUGAUUGUUUUCUCUACAAGAAAGUCGAAUACGAGAAGUUAGUGAUCUUACACAUAAAAGUUAUCUUUCUUACUUGUCUUAUCUUUUCCCAUUGUUUAUCUAUAUUCUAUAGUAAAGUACUACAUAGUAAUUAAAAUUUAAUUCCCACUAAUAUAUUUACCAUCUUCUAAUGCUGUUACUUUUAUUCGGUUUGGAAAUUAUUUUUACCUUUACUUUCCCAUUGGUUAAUUUUGGUGUUUGUUGUUGCGAUUGAUGCUGUUACCCCAAUGUGUUCGCCCAAACCGAACUCGGGUUCGCACGAACCUCCAUUAGAGUUCGGUCGAACAUUUGAGCGCGUUUGGUUGUACGGAAUUAAUGAAGCUCGACGGCUGCGAUUAACUCUGAAAAUCGAGCAGCGAAUUUAGUCCUUCGGAUUGAUUGACGGUCGAUGAUGAUGAUCGAUGCUGAUGGACGGUUGAUGAUGAUGAGCGACGACUGAUUGGAUGAUGGUGGUGGAUGAAUGAUGGUCGUUGAUGUGUGAUGGACGGCGGGAUGAUGGUUGAUGGUGAAUCGCAAGAGGCGGAAGAGCAAAAACGAAGAAGGGGAUGCUGAUGUUCUUUUUAAUCUUUCGAACUUUGUUUUCUUUUCCUUUUUGAGGGGAUCGUGGGUUUUAACCCUUUGUCAUUCUUUUACUUCCUUUUUUUAUUAUUUCUUUUUUUCUCUCUUUUUCUUUUUCCUCCUUUUUUCCUUUUUUUUUCUCUUACUCUAUUUUCAUUUUUCACUUUAUUUUAUUUUUCUAAAUUAGCUUACUAUAAAUACCUUAUUUUGAGAUUUUAGAAGGGGACUCAAAACCAUGUAAAUACUUAGAAUAUUUCUUAGGGUUUAGGGUUUUAACUUAGGUUUUUAGAGAGAGAGAGAAAAGUGAGAAAUCAUCAAAUAAAUUGGGGGUUUUGAUGAUCAAGUGUAGCAAUUUGGUUGAAGAUUUCUACCAUUAAUCAAUGAGAAAUUUCUA